AGGGCAGUGCUCGGCACGGCGCUGGCACUGCUUUGUCCCGCUCCCGUCGACCGUACCCAGAGCUCUGCUCCCCCCGAGCCUGCCCACGGCCGGGCACUGCGCGGGGCCACGUGUGUAGGGCGAGGUGUGAGCCCGGCUGCCGGACAUGGGCAGCAGUGCGCCUCGAGCAGCGCGUGCCGCUGGGAGAAUCCAGCCCUCGCUCUGCCUUCAGCACGGCCAAGCCCAGCCCCGCCGCCGCUCUGUGCACGCACGCUUCUCCCUGCCUGCAGACACGUUACGGCAGUGCCCCGGGCACACAGGUGAGGGCAGAGUGCCGGGGCACAGCGCGGCUCUCUCCUCUCUGUCCCAGCAGAGCUCUGCAGCGCUGCAGCCUGAGAUCCCCUCCGGGUGAAUGGCCGCUGUGCUGCGGCUUCUUUGCCAGUCCUCCCCCGGCAGCACAGACAUCCGCGGCCGUGUGAGCCGUGCUGAGGUCUCCUGCUUUCCGAGGGGCACCGACUCACGGUGCCGACGGGCAGGACUCGAUGGAGAGCUGGCAGCUGGUUCAGGCGUGCUGUGACAGCCUCUCAGCAAUCAGAGUAUUUACUAAUUUCAAUCCCCGACGCGUUGCCCUUCUGAGGCGAGCGCUCGCUCUGCAGAGAAAUCUGUGAAAUGAGGCACAUGAUUUUCCAGCAGCACCACUCGCAGCUCGGUUUGAGAUGGGAACAGGAAGAAAUGUGUCAACACUUUCAUGUCUCUGCAUGUCGGAGCAGCGUGCCUGGCCAGGGCUGUGUGCUGCGGGCACACGUGUCACGGGCAGCACCAGGGCUGUGUGUGGGGCCGCGCUCUGCUGCGCAGGGCUAUGAGCCCGAGCCCCACAGCACUGCAGGGGCCCCUCGGCACCGCUGUGUGCAGACACUGCCGCAUCCCAGCAGGGCAGGCCAUGAUCUGACCCCCUGUGCAGGCUCUGUGAACAUGGCAGUGUGCCCCGAGGUCCCCACACACCGUGUGGCUGUGAUUAAAAACAGGCUGUGUGCAAACCA